rnacentral:rRNA from 1 species
UACGAACCGAGCGAACGUUAUUCGGAAUCACUGGGCUUAAAGGGCGCGUAGGCGGGCCGUCAAGUCGAGGGUGAAAUCCCCCAGCUCAACUGGGGAAGUGCCUCCGAUACUGGCGGCCUCGAGGGGGAUAGGGGCAUGCGGAACUUCCGGUGGAGCGGUGAAAUGCGUAGAUAUCGGAAGGAACACCGGUGGCGAAAGCGGCGUGCUGGAUCCCUUCUGACGCUGAGGCGCGAAAGCCAGGGGAGCGAACGGG